AGUUCACUAUGUUAAAUACUCACGUCUGUCGACACGAUUGGUGGGGUGCUGGUCAAUGUGUAUAUCACAAAAGACUGGUCAUCGGUCGGGACAGUACGGAGGCGUAAC
rnacentral:sRNA from 1 species